rnacentral:misc_RNA from 1 species
UUAUCCGGGCUUGAGACCGGCUAAACACAAACUACUUAGGGGAAGUUCUAACCCCACUUAAAUAUAAAGAAGGAAAAAAAACCAGUCACAAUUCCCCCAAAGCAAUCAUGACUUUACUACCACCUAACUCCACUUAAAUAUAAAGAAGAAAAAAAAAAUCACAAUUCCCUCAAAGCUUCACAUAUGCACCUCCUCCUCCUCCUCCAUCUGCAACUUUGGUCCUGUGUUUUUUCUUUUUUCCAAGAAACAUGUUUCAUAAGAGGAAGCACAUGUCCAUCUUUCUCUAUUUCCGAACAAUGCCUCUUCUUGUCCUAAGUUUUUUUUUUUUUUUUUUCAAGAAACGUGUUUCAUAAGAGAAAACGCGUGUCCAUCUUUCUCUAUUUCCGGAGGACAUGGCCCCAACACGUGUCCCGCCGUAUCCAUGUCGAAAACGUCUCCAAAAAGGGCAAAUUUCAGUCCACACCAUUUCCAUGCUUCAUAGUAUGGGAAUAUAAACACAUAUUUACUUCCUACUCUAUAACACUUCCCCUUAAGUUCAAUAUUGAAUUUCAUCAAUUCCAAUAUUCCUUAAUGAGAUUCUUAUUGAAGCCGACAUCUCUCUCAUAACAACUCACAAAUUGCACAAAAAGCAAAACCAGCAACUCACCAGGCAGAUUUAGAAACACCUGCAUAAAGGCACCAACACAAAACAACUCACAGGGUUGCACUUCCUCUCCAAAGGUGACGCCAGCAAGGAAACACCAACACAACAUAACUCAUAAGGCUGCACUUCCCUCUUCAAAGGUGACACCGGUAAGUAAAAGAUGAAACAAUAGGUUAAUCUUUAUCUAAUAGCUCAUAGGACCCAAAUAUAAAAACUUCAAGGAGUAUCGAAUGAGUCAAGUCCAAAAGUAGAAACCAAAAACAAAUAGGCGAGGAUCACAUGGCCCUAACAUAGAAGCAUAAUAACCUACGAAAAUAUACUUAACAAAACAAUUACCAGAAUAGCCAUAGAAUACCCUAAUUUUAGUCUCAACAAUCAUAACAAUAAACUUUCCAAAUUCAGGUGAUCUAAAUGUAACACCCUCACUGUAGCAAUUCCGUACAUUAUACUGUUCCGAUGACCGGUGUCGGUCCGAACAGCUAGAAUAUCCUGAAAAAAAUAUUUAGACUAGAGUGAGGAGUCAUAAAUAACUCAAAUAAUGAUAAGAAAAAUUAAAGAAAAUUUAAGAAAUAAAAUAUAACAAAGUUAAAUAAGUCGUAGCUCCAACGAUAGGUGACCUAACGGGAAGCUACUGUGAAGACAGUUAGCGACCCUAGACCCGUAGGGAAACCCCAUGAAAUAAUUUUUUGGACUCCAGAGAAGAGUUAUUGAGGUUUCGA